rnacentral:rRNA from 1 species
CUUAACACAUGCAAGUUGAAGGAGAAGUCUUGGCUUCGGUUGAGAUGGAGACUGGCGCACGGGUGAGUAACGCGUAGACAACCUGCCUGAAUCUGGGGGAUAACCGCCCGAAAGGGUGGCUAAUACCGCAUAAUGCAGCGGGGCCGCAUGGCCACAGUUGUUAAAAAUUUCGAUUGGAUUCAGAUGGGUCUGCGUGCUAUUAGUUAGUUGGUGAGGUAACGGCUCACCAAGGCGAUGAUAGCUAGGGGGUCUGAGAGGAUGAUCCCCCACACUGGGACUGAGACACGGCCCAGACUCCUACGGGAGGCAGCAGUGAGGAAUCUUGCGCAAUGGGGGAAACCCUGACGCAGCCACGCCGCGUGCCGGAAGACGGCCCUAUGGGUUGUAAACGGCUUUUAUUUGGGAAGAAUCUGGGGGUUUCGAUCCCCACUGACGGUACCAAUUGAACAAGCACCGGCUAACUCCGUGCCAGCAGCCGCGGUAAUACGGAGGGUGCAAGCGUUGUCCGGAAUCAUUGGGUGUAAAGGGUGCGCAGGCUGGCGCCUAAGUCGGAGGUGAAAUCUUGCCGCUUAACGGUAAAAUUGCCUCCGAUACUGGGUGUCUUGAAUCUGACAGAGGUCGGUGGAAUUCGUGGUGUAGCGGCGAAAUGCAUAGAUAUCACGAAGAACAUCAGUGGCGAAAGCGGCCGGCUGGGUCAGUAUUGACGCUGAGGCACGAGAGCGUGGGGAGCGAACAGGAUUAGAUACCCUGGUAGUCCACGCUGUAAACGAUGUAUGCUAG